UAUCCGUAGGUGAACCUGCGGAUGGAUCAUUACCAAAGGAUUCGUCCAUGUCUUGUGAACCGUAUUGAGCACAGUCGGAGUGAGUAUGGGUUUUGGGGUGGUGCGCAUACUGCACACUACCUCUGCCUCGACUCCCUCCGGCCGACCCUAAACCUAAACUUCAACUUAUGCCUAGUUAUUCAAACUAAAAACAACUUUUAGCAAUGGAUCUCUUGGCUCUC
rnacentral:misc_RNA from 1 species